GAUGAACGCUAGCGACAGGCCUAACACAUGCAAGUCGAGGGGCAGCACAUGCGUAGCAAUACAAUGGUGGCGACCGGCGCACGGGUGAGUAACACGUAUGCAACCUACCUGUAAGAGGGGAAUAACCCGGAGAAAUUCGGACUAACACCGCAUAAUACCGAUUAACUGCAUGGUUGAUCGGUUAAAUAUUUAUAGCUUACAGAUGGGCAUGCGUAACAUUAGAUAGUUGGUGAGGUAACGGCUCACCAAGUGAACGAUGUUUAGGGGUUCUGAGAGGAAUGUCCCCCACACUUGUACUGGGAUACGGACCAGACUCCUACAGCAGGCAGCAGUGAGGAAUAUUGGUCAAUGGGAGAGAGCCUGAACCAGCCAAGUCGCGUGAAGGAAGAAGGUUCUAUGGAUUGUAAACUUCUUUUGUAAGGGAAUAAAAAAGCUUACGUGUAGGCUAUUGUAUGUACUUUACGAAUAAGGAUCGGCUAACUCCGUGCCAGCAGCCGCCGUAA
rnacentral:rRNA from 1 species